rnacentral:rRNA from 1 species
AACGAACGCUGGCGGCAUGCUUAAUACAUGCAAGUCGAACGAGAAAGCCUUCGGGUGAGUACAGUGGCGCACGGGUGAGUAAUGCAUAGGAACGUACCUUUCAGAGGGGGAUAACUGCGGGAAACCGCCGCUAAUACCGCAUACGCAGGAAACUGCAAAGGUGGCCUCUCUUUGAAGCUACCGCUGAGAGAUCGGCCUAUGUCCCAUUAGCUUGUUGGUAGGGUAAUGGCCUACCAAGGCUACGAUGGGUAGCUGGUCUGAGAGGAUGAUCAGCCACACUGGAACUGAGACACGGUCCAGACUCCUACGGGAGGCAGCAGUAGGGAAUAUUGCACAAUGGGCGCAAGCCUGAUGCAGCAAUGCCGCGUGAGUGAAGAAGGCUCUUGGGUCGUAAAGCUCUUUCGACAGGGAAGAAGUGCAUAUAGGUGAACAAUCUAUGUGUAUGACGGUACCUGCAGAAGAAGCACCGGCUAACUCCG